GCCGGGUGUGGUGGUGCACACCUGUAAUCCCAGCUACUUGGGAGGCUGAGGCAGGAGAAUCGCUUGAGCCUGGGAGGCGGAGGUUGCAGUGAGCCAAGAUCGCACCACUGCACCCUAGGUGACAGAGCGAGACUCUGUCUCAA
rfam:Nomascus leucogenys chromosome 9, whole genome shotgun sequence.